UACGUAGGUGGCGAGCGUUGUCCGGAAUUAUUGGGCGUAAAGGGCGCGUAGGCGGGAUAAUCAGUCUGUUGUAAAAGUUCGGGGCUUAACCCCGUGACGCGAUGGAAACUGUUAUUCUUGAGUACCGGAGAGGAAAGUGGAAUUCCCAGUGUAGCGGUGAAAUGCGUAGAUAUUGGGAGGAACACCAGUGGCGAAGGCGACUUUCUGGACGGUGUCUGACGCUGAGGCGCGAAAGCCAGGGUAGUGAACGGG
rnacentral:rRNA from 1 species